GUAGUCGAUGGGAAACGGGUUAAUAUUCCCGUACUUGGUGUUACUGCGAAGGGGGGACGGAGAAGGCUAUGUUGGCCGGGCGACGGUUGUCCCGGUUUAAGCGUGUAGGUGUGUGUUCCAGGUAAAUCCGGUUCACUUUAACACUGAGGCGUGACGACGAGGCACUACGGUGCUGAAGCAACAAAUGCCCUGCUUCCAGGAAAAGCCUCUAAGCAUCAGGUAACAUCAAAUCGUACCCCAAACCGACACAGGUGGUCAGGUAGAGAAUACCAAGGCGCUUGAGAGAACUCGGGUGAAGGAACUAGGCAAAAUGGUGCCGUAACUUCGGGAGAAGGCACGCUGACACGUAGGUGAAGUGAUUUACUCAUGGAGCUGAAGUCAGUCGAAGAUACCAGCUGGCUGCAACUGUUUAUUAAAAACACAGCACUGUGCAAACACGAAAGUGGACGUAUACGGUGUGACGCCUGCCCGGUGCCGGAAGGUUAAUUGAUGGGGUCAGCGCAAGCGAAGCUCCUGAUCGAAGCCCCGGUAAACGGCGGCCGUAACUAUAACGGUCCUAAGGUAGCGAAAUUCCUUGUCGGGUAAGUUCCGACCUGCACGAAUGGCGUAAUGAUGGCCAGGCUGUCUCCACCCGAGACUCAGUGAAAUUGAACUCGCUGUGAAGAUGCAGUGUACCCGCGGCAAGACGGAAAGACCCCGUGAACCUUUACUAUAGCUUGACACUGAACAUUGAGCCUUGAUGUGUAGGAUAGGUGGGAGGCUUUGAAGUGUGGACGCCAGUCUGCAUGGAGCCGACCUUGAAAUACCACCCUUUAAUGUUUGAUGUUCUAACGUGGACCCGUUACCCGGGUUGCGGACAGUGUCUGGUGGGUAGUUUGACUGGGGCGGUCUCCUCCUAAAGAGUAACGGAGGAGCACGAAGGUUGGCUAAUCCUGGUCGGACAUCAGGAGGUUAGUGCAAUGGCAUAAGCCAGCUUGACUGCGAGCGUGACGGCGCGAGCAGGUGCGAAAGCAGGUCAUAGUGAUCCGGUGGUUCUGAAUGGAAGGGCCAUCGCUCAACGGAUAAAAGGUACUCCGGGGAUAACAGGCUGAUACCGCCCAAGAGUUCAUAUCGACGGCGGUGUUUGGCACCUCGAUGUCGGCUCAUCACAUCCUGGGGCUGAAGUAGGUCCCAAGGGUAUGGCUGUUCGCCAUUUAAAGUGGUACGCGAGCUGGGUUUAGAACGUCGUGAGACAGUUCGGUCCCUAUCUGCCGUGGGCGCUGGAGAACUGAGGGGGGCUGCUCCUAGUACGAGAGGACCGGAGUGGACGCAUCACUGGUGUUCGGGUUGUCAUGCCAAUGGCACUGCCCGGUAGCUAAAUGCGGAAGAGAUAAGUGCUGAAAGCAUCUAAGCACGAAACUUGCCCCGAG
rnacentral:rRNA from 2 species